rnacentral:misc_RNA from 1 species
GAUGAAGAACGCAGUGAAAUGCGAUAAGUAGUGUGAAUUGCAGAAUUCAGUGAAUCAUCGAAUCUUUGAACGCACAUUGCGCCCCUUGGUAUUCCAUGGGGCAUGUCUGUUCGAGCGUCAUUUGUACCUUCAAGCUCUGCUUGGUGUUGGGUGUUUGUCUCGCCUCUGCGCGCAGACUCGCCUCAAAACAAUUGGCAGCCGGCGUAUUGAUUUCGGAGCGCAGUACAUCUCGCGCUUUGCACUCAUAACGACGACGUCCAAAAGUACAUUUUUACACUCUUGACCUCGGAUCAGGUAGGGAUACCCGCUGAACUUAAGCAUAUCAAAAGCGGAGGA